CUGCUCCCUCCAAAGCUUUGUUUUCUUAUCCUCCCACCCAUCUCCAUUGCAUCGAGUGCUGGGACUGCACUGGGGCUGCUAGGGAAUGAGUUCCCAUGGUCAUAUUAAAACAGCCUCAGAAGGAAAGAGAACUGAGAAAAAGAGUGGGGAGGCUGUGGCCAGAUGUCCCUUUUGAGACUGAGCUACGCUGGUUGGAAAUAUUUCCUACCUUACCUAUCCCUGGAUUCCCAGAUCUCACAGGGGGAAAGCUUUGGAUCGUGUCUGAAUUCCCUUCCUGGACAAAUCAACAUGGUUUGAUCAGAUUUCCUUUGCUGCCUGGUGCUUGCUGUGUGUGAGGGGUAUGGGCAGCUGAGCGGCAUGGUGGAGCCCCUGGCUGGCGUCCUGGGAGCCUUCGCCGUGGUGGUGGC
rnacentral:lncRNA from 1 species